GUUGGGGCGAUACAAGCGCAUGUAGGACCUAAAGUGUGACGUCACUUGAAUGGAAGUUUGAAAAACAUCCCUCAACGACCAAUUCCUGAUGAACCAACCCGAUGUAAAAGAUAAACAAAAAAGCCAAAGAGUAUUGAUUUUGAUAAAUCUAUUGAAAUUAGAAGAACUUAAAACCAACUUAGUUUUUAUAAUCAGUAUAUUUAAACCAUAAUUUAAGUGCAUUUUAAUCGUACAUAUCAUAUAUUAUAUUACCUACUUCAUACACAAAGACAAGAUUUUAAGUUUGCUUUAUAUAAUUAUGAUUUCCAGAUAGUACAGAUGGCACCAUAUUUAAUCAUCUAUGUUCUCUGAACUCUGUUUGAUACCAAAGUUUAUUUUACACAAAGUGCAAAAUAAUUCAUUGAUUUUAAAUUCAGUAGAACUGUUUUAUUUGAUAAAUAAUCAAGUCUGAUGUUUUAAUUACGAUAAUUUCAGCACUACAUGCAUAGAAGUGACCUUAUACUUGGCAUAUAUAAUAUAUCAACACAUCAACAUAUAAUAUAUCUGUGUUUUAUCUGUUACAUAAAAUGUAUAUAUACAUGUAUUUAAUUUACUUUUACUAUGACAAAAUAUUGGCAAUUCAACCUUUUUUUUAUUAAUUAUUUUUUUUUCUUUUAUUCUUCAUGUUUUACUAUUUCUAGUAUACUUGUUAAUUUUGUACAUUUGUUUUGUAUAAUUAAGUUUACCUGUAUGUUCAAUCUAAAGGAUGAAAUACAAUCAAUUCAUGUAAACUAUAUGAUUGUUCAAAAUAUCUAUUAAAAAUCAAGAAUUAUAU
rnacentral:misc_RNA from 1 species